CCUACGGGAGGCAGCAGUGAGGAAUAUUGGUCAAUGGUCGGGAGACUGAACCAGCCAAGCCGCGUGAGGGAUGAAGGUACAGAGUAUCGUAAACCUCUUUUGUCAGGGAACAAAGGCGGGGACGCGUCCCCGGAUGAGUGUACCUGAAGAAAAAGCAUCGGCUAACCCCGUGCCAGCGGCCGCGGUAAUACGGAGGAUGAGAGCGUUAUCCGGCUUUAUUGGGGUUAAAGGGUGCGCAGGCGGUCAGUUAAGUCAGCGGUAAAAGCUCGGGGCUCAACCCCGGACCGCCGUUGAAACUGGCAGUCUCGAGUUGGAGAGAAGUAUGCGGAAUGCGCGGUGUAGCGGUGAAAUGCAUAGAUAUCGCGCAGAACUCCGAUUGCGAAGGCAGCAUGCCGGCUCCACACUGACGCUGAGGCACGAAAGCGUGGGUAUCGAACAGGAUUAGAUACCCGAGUAGUC
rnacentral:rRNA from 1 species